UUUAUAUUAUGAAAAUAAUACUCGAAAAGCUUUACAAUAUUUGAUAACCCAAGGUACAUAAUUACCAACAAAAACCAAACCUAAAAUCUCUGUUGGAAUUCAUAAAACCAAGAAAAAAAAGCGACAAUUAUUGAUCAAAACAUAGUUAAAGAUAUAUGGAAAAACUCAUGAGAAUUAGGAAAAAAUGGAGAAAAAAGCUAAGGAAGAGGUUUGGUUGUUGUUGAGGCAAGAGCAGGCAUGUCCUUGAGCCACUGGUCCAAUGGCUUACCAAUGGAGUAAACAAUAAAUCCAAUCUGCCUGAGUUUAUCAGCGUCGACCACGUUUCUACCGUCAAAAACAAAAGCCGGUUUCUGCAUAUUCUCAAAGAUCCGUUGGAAAUCGAGUUUCUUGAACUCAUCCCACUCGGUUAAAAUGCAGAUACCUGGGCGCCCAUGCUAAUUGAAAAAGUGGAGUCAUAUAUAUACACUUUAGAUCAAGAUAUCAGAAACCCUUAAAUGAAAUCUGUGAUAACAAAGCACUAUCAAAUGAAAAAUAGUAUUAAGGUACGAAAGAAAGGAAUGAAAUUAUGUAGAUAACAACAGCGUGGCAUCUUGUGAGUAUGUGCAAGUCAAACACACAUAACAGGAAGAUGAUGGAUGAUAUAUUUGUAAAAGUGGAUGUUGUUCAUAGUAAAGCAAAGAAAAUAACCGCGGAUGGAAAAGUCACAAACCAGCUCCAUCAGGGUAAAUAGACUGGCUUUUACAUAUGUAGGUAAAAAUUUUUUUAUGGUAUUUGCCUUAAAAGAAUCAUUUAGAUCAGCUUGUUUCAUUACAUUAAGUUCACAAGUUAGUAUUCAUUCUUUAACAAAUUUUGAAGCAAUCCGCUAAUGGCCCGGGGUACGUAUUAUCAGCCUAUCAUCAUCUCUUGCUUCAUCAUAAAAGAGUUUGAGAGCACAAAUUAAGGCCCAAUUAUUGGUAGCCCAAAGAGUUUACUACUUUUCCUUAGACUAGAGCAAAGACAAACGACGUCGUUUGGGUGUAAGAAGAAAAUUGCCAAAGAUUUUGAAAACCUAGAAUCGUGAGCUCAGCCUGCUCGUCUUCUUCCUCUGUUUUUGUCUCUCUUACUCAGAUCUCAAAAAGAGCUUCUUUAUUUUUUUUUUCCUUCCUUUCCUUAGAAAAAAGAGUAAAUUUUUAUCAAAAUUUCCAGCUCUGAUAUAAAAGUUUGUGAAAUUAGUAGCUAUUGUUAUGUCUCUAGCUCUGAUUUCAUCUUUUCAAUGGAAGAAAAAGUCGUCAAAGGCAAUGAGAAGAAGACGAGGGGACGAUUGGUUCGCAUCGGAGAUUCCUUUGGAUCUCCAGAUCGAGAUUCUGAUUAGAUUGCCUGCUAAAUCGCUGAUGAGGUUCAAGUGCGUUUCAAAGCUCUGGUUUUCUCUUAUCCGUUGUCGAUAUUUUAGCAAUCGUUAUCUUACGGUGGCUUCCCCACCGCGAGCACCUCGUCUAUACAUGAGUUUGGUGGACCACAUCCAGUGUAAUUCAAUGGAAGUCUGCUAUAACCCUCGCGAGUCUGUAUUGCUAUCAUUAUCAUCAUCGUCUAGUACUGAUGCAAAGUCUUUCCACCAAGAUUUGACAAUGCCAGGGAUGGGAGGACGCAACAUGAUGAUUCUUCGCGGCUUGAUUCUAUACAUUGUUUGCAGAAAGGCGUGUAUCUAUAAUCCCACCACCAGACAAUGUGUAACCUUACCCGCCGUCCAAUCCAACAUUUUUGCUCAAGAAGAUUAUCAUAAGAGUGUCCUCUACUUUUUAGGACACGAUCCUGUUCUUGAUCAAUACAAAGUAGUUUGCACUGUUGCAGUAUCCUCAAAAAGGUUUAAGAGGAUAACCUCAGAGCAUUGGGUCUUCGUACUAGAACCCGGAGGUUCGUGGAAAAGAAUUGAGUUUGAUCUACCUCAUUGUCCUGCACGACUAGGACUGUGCAUCAACGGAGUCAUAUAUUUUUUGGCUUCCGCUUGUAUGUCUAGCGAUAUCCUUGUCAGUUUUGAUGUUAUGUCUGAAGAGUUCAAAUGGAUCCAAGGACCUCCUGUCGCGUCUGCAUUUAAGCCCAUGGGUUUUAUAGAGUAUCUUGGAAAACCAUCUGUUUUUGAUCAUUCCCAUCUUAAACGCAAAGGUUCCGUGGACUUAUGGGUCUUGGAAGAUGCUGGAAAAUGGUCGAAGAAAUCCCUGGUUUUGCAGCCUUGUCAGAUGCAUUUAGUUGAUAAGAAAUUAUCAUUCACGGUUAAAGGUACUACUCAAAACGGCGAGAUUAUCUUGGCACCCGUAUUGUUGCAUUCCCCUUAUUACGUUUUGUAUUAUGAUCCCAAAAAAAAUGAUUUGAGAAAGGUUAGAAUCAGAGGAAUACCGAAACAAUGGUUUGGUAAGCUUGAUGACACCAACUUACUUUUUUAUUUCGAUCUUAUGGAUGAGAGUGAAAGUAUCCUGCACUUGGAAAUUUGAAAUUGCCAUGUCGACAUUUCUUACCUUCAAUACAUUGGGAACUAUUUAUUUUGUAAUUUUGUUUUAUUUAUGUUGAUUGUUUUUUUUUUUUUUUGAUAUUUUGAAUUUUGAACUUACCUUUGUUUUUUAUGGUGACAAAAUUGACUUUGAUCAAAAAUCAUCUUACUAAGAAGAAUAAGAAACAUGGUAGCUAGUAUAUUAUGAUUUAUUGAUUGAUUUCACAGCCCUAAGAUUAAAUGAAAACUAACCUCAACUGUUAGAUUAAAAAGAUGACAUCAGCAGACCCAAAAAAGUGGGUUUGCUGUUUAAUUGAACUACUGAUUUAUUUUUACCUACCUUUGUUUGUUUGAAUUUCAAAUCACAUAACAAGUAUACGAGGUAUGUUAAUCUCAUAUGCAAGAUAGAGUCUCUUGCUAGAGACAUUUAGAUCUAUGAUGGUCUUUCAUUGGCAAAGUUAGCAUCUUUCAGCCAAUUGCUUUUCUAUUGACCAUGUCAUGAUCAUAAUCGGAGCAAGAGUUGCCGGUAUAGAGUUUGUCAGUUACUAUUCCUAUCAUCUUUCUUGUGCAUGUAGAGAUGAUGAAUUUUAAGUAACUAAUCACUAUGAAGGGAGAAAGAGAAGAGAAUGAUCAUAAGCUCUCACAAUCUCCUAAACGUAAGUGCUGCCUUGAAAUAAUAGCCGGUGAUAUCAAUAUUCCUUUCGAUCUGACGGUGGAGAUACUGAAGAAACUCCCGGCCAAGUCUCUUGUGAGAUUCUAAUGCGUCUCCAAGCAAUGGUCAACCAUAAUCGGCUCCCGGAAAACUCCCGGCCAAGUCUUCUUCUCAUCAUCUCACAUUUCUCUCUUCUACAAUAUUUCUCUCUCUAGAUUCUGUUCAGGAACUUGUCUUAAAAACUCUCACUCUCCCCCAAACUUAACAAACAUACAAGCAAAACACCCAAUGGGUCUCACUUCUCUUCAAGUUUGCAUGGAUUCGGAUUGGCUCCAGGUAUUUUCACUUAGACUUCCAUCGUUUGUAUUUGUGUUUCUUUUCCAAAUAUGAACAUAAGACUUCACACAUUGCAAGCAAAAAUUCCUUUGUUAAUUAGUUUUAAAAAGUAAAUGUCAAAUACGAAUGGAAGAUCUGUUUGUGUUUGACACGUACUUAAAAAUUGAAAAUAUUUUCCAUUUUAAAUGUGACUUAUUUUUUGUUUUAAUGAAUUUGUUUUGUCCCAUUUAAGUGCACAAUUUAAAAAACAAAAAUUAGGAUUGAAACAAUUUAGAUCUUAUUAAUUACUCCUCUUGAACCAUCGUUUUUGGCGUGCAUGGUGAUGCAUAUUAUGUACCAUACAACUUCGAUUGUAUAGAUUACAAAGCGUAACCUUACCCGCCAUCAAAUUCAACAUCUUUGUUCAAGGAAAUGAUCAUAGUGUCCUCUACUUCUUGGGACACGAUCCUGUUCUUGAUCAAUACAAAGUAGUUUGUAAUUUUGUGUCAUCAUCUUCACAAGAUUUGGACAUGAUAAACUUGGAGCAUUGGGUCUUCGUACUAGAAGUUGGAGAUUCUUGGAAAAGAAUAGAGUUUGAUCAACCUCAUAUAUCUACAAGACCUGGACUGUGCAUCGGUGGAGUUAUAUAUUAUCUUGCUUUCACUAGUAUGUUUGAGGAUAUCGUUGUCAGCUUUGACGUUAGAUCUGAAGAAUUUAACAUAAUCCAAGCGCCUCUUGUGGUGUCUGCAUAUGUUGGCUCUCUGGGUUUUAUAGAGUAUGGUGGGAAACCAGCUAUUUUUUAUCAUACUAGUCUUAAAGAAAACGGUUUGGUGGACUUAUGGGUCUUGGAAAUGCUGGAAACUGGUCGAGGAAAGCUUUGAGUUUGCAGCCUUCUCAGCUGCUUUAGUUGAUAACGACAUUCUAUUGACGGUAGAAGAUACAACUCAAAACGGCGAGGUUAUCUUGGUACCAAGUGAGUUGUGUUCCCCUUUUACAUUCUCUAUUAUGAUAUACUGAAGAAUGAUUGGAGGAAGGUUGAAAUCAAAGGAAUGCCGGACCAUAAGAAGGUUGGGAUCAAAGGAAUACCGGACUUUGGUUUCAAACUUAUGGAUAACAGUGAAAGCAUCAUCCACUUGGAAACUUGAAUACUAUUACUUGUUUUUUUGUUAUUUCUUUUCUUCUCAUUCCAAGCUAAGAUUAUCAUAUUAUCUUAUUAUUUUUCGCCUUUAAUAAUACAAUGCAACUAUUUUAUUUUGUUAUUUUAAUUUUAGGCAACAAACAAUCGUUUAAUAUGUGUUAUUCAAUUUUAUUUUAAAAUCAUCAAGUAAGAUUGGAUUUAAUCGCAGAGGUUACAUGUUCUGUAUAUCAAAUCAAGAACAAGUUUUAGAACCCUUGUGGAUAUAUAUAAGCUUUUGUUUCAAGUAGAAAUGAAUAUAUAUAUAUAUAUAUAUAUAUAUAUAUAUAUAUUUUUCUGUUUUUUGUUUUUCCUUUAAGCAUUCAUCAAUUGUGUAAAAAAAUCUCUGGAAGUGCUUUUAGUAUGUAAAGAAGUUAUCUACCUAAAGAAGUUUACCCUAUAGCCCAUGUUUCUUUGAUAAACCGGUACUAGAAUAACAUUUUUGAAGAGUCAGUGGCUCAACAUGUCCAUGUUUCUUUAAAUAUCGAUUCUCAAUGCCUUGAAUUCAACAGGUCCUUAAUUAUAAGUAUAUCGUAUGGCCAGGUCGGAGAUUUGACCUCAGGUAAAUGAAAGUAUUGUCUGAGGGUAGGAUUAUACAUUGUGACCAAAUGACGUCUUAUGAUCACCGAACAACAUUGUAAGCCGCAGACUUAUCGAUACUCAACACUUUCGAAAGGGAUUAUUACUUAAGGUGCGAGUUUUUGUUUCUUUGUGUAGGCGAGAAGAAUAAGACAUGGUUGUCACUAAACCAAUGGUGAAGUGGGAACGUUGGAGCCUUGCAGGUUAUUCAAAGAACGAGGCACGAUCUAGUCAAUGAAGACGCAUCACAACCUCACGAGGGGGACUUUGCUAGGAUUGUCUUGAGUAUCUCAACCGUUUACUCGAGAGAGAUAUUGAUAUCGUUGAGAUUUUAAGACUAAAGUUCAGAGCCGACUUGCUCUGAUACCAAUUCAAAUCAAGAUCACAUUAUUUUGACUGCUCUGAUUAAGUUACUGAAUGAUUCAGAAAGUGAUUCAGCAACACGAGAACAAGAGAUUAAAGAAUAACCUUUCUUUAUUGAUUUAGAAACUUCACAAAACUAAAUCUCUCUCUUCUGUCCUCUCUGAGGUCUUAUGGAACAACUCUCCAUAGCCUCUCAUAUAUAGAACUUAUCUACCCUAAGUCUAUAUGAGUCUCAGAUCUGUCUCAACACCUCCACGUGUCUUAACUCUCAUCUUCGGAUGGUGGAGCUCCUCUGGUAGCAGAACUCCCCCCGAGCUGUUCUGAGCUCACCCCGAGCUAUUCGAGCUCCCCUGGGCUAUUCGAGCUCCCCGAGCUACACUAAGCUCUUUGAGCUUUCUCUCAAGCUCUCUCUCUUCUUCUUCACGAGCUCUCCUCUUGAGCUGCCUUCACGAGCUCCCUCUGAGCUGCUCUCACGAGCUCUCCUCUGAGCUACCUCUGAGCUACCCUCUGAGCUACUUCGGCUAUACGAGCUACUCAAGCUCCUUGAGCUCCUCUGAGCUACACGAGCUCCCCGCUUGAGCUGCACGAGCUCCCCUGCUGAGCUGCCUCUCUUGUUCUUCAUAAGGCUCUUAUUUAUACUAGAACCAAGCUUCUUCUUUUCCUAUUGUGAAUAGGAAGACUUACAAAUCUUGUCCAACUUGAUAUUAUUUGUAUUUCCUUUUCUCUUGAUUUCCUUUCUUGGAUUUCCUUUCUUGUAUCUCUUCUAGCAUCUUCUAGAAGGAGAUAACUUGCUCCUCAAGUUAGUUGGAAUUAUCCAACAUUCUCCCCCUUAAUUCCAACUUGAAUUCCGGGAAACUUGAUUCUCGCCAAUGCCUUAGUAAGUGUGUCCGCCUUCUGCUCCACACCUUGAACAUUCUCAACUUCAACCUUUGUUGAGAUACAAUCUCUUGCUCCUCCUUAGCUUUUGAGAUCUUCAAAUUUGACUGCAUCUUAGUAUCCACAAGCAUUCCUUGAGCAUCUCCCUCUUGUUCUGCUCCUUGAAUUACUUCUUGUACUAGUGCUUGUACUACUUCAACGAUUCCUUGAACACAACCUUCUUGUUCUGCUCCUUGAAUCACGUCUUGUACUACUUCAUGUAAUACUUCAUGUACUACUUCAGCGAGAAGUAUUCCUUGAGCACAAACCUCUUGUUCAACUCCUUGAAUAACUUCCUGUAGUACUCUCUGUACUACUUCAACGACUAGUACAGAAUACCCAAAUAUCAUAACCCGACUUGGUUUGAUAUUCUCUAGACCCCGACUUGGUUCUAGCAUCUCUAGAAUCUGACUUGAUUCUAGCAUCAUUAGAACCUGGCUUGGUUCCAAUAUUGACCAACCAUCUACCUUCUUGAGAUGCGGCCUCGUGAUCACACUUCUUGACCAAUCAUCUACCAUCUUGAGAUGCGGCCUCAUGAUCUUCUUAGCUUUUAGUAAGCUUGAAUGACGUUCGGCUUCUCCCCACAUAUCAUUCAGAAUCUUCAUUAGGUGCCUAGAGACUCCUCCUCUAUGCAACCUCAAAUCUUCAUUAGAUGCUUAGAGACUCCUCCUCUAUGCAACAUCCUCUCUUCAUUAAAUGCCUAGAGACUCCUCCUCUAUGCAAUAUCGAUUCUUCAUUAGACGCCUAGAGACUCCUCCUCUAUGCGUAAUCGAUUGAACUCCAUUAGAUGCUUAGAGACUCCUCCUCUAUGCAACAUCGAAUAUUCAUUAGACGCCUAGAGACUCCUCCUCUAUGCGUAAUCGAUUAAACUCCAUUAGAUCCUUAGAGACUCCUCCUCUAUGCAACAUCGAAUAUUCAUUAGACGCCUAGAGACUCCUCCUCUAUGCGUAAUCGAUUGAGCUCCAUAAACUCUCCUCCUUUAUCGGUGCGAAAGGUUUUGAUGGACAAGCCGGCUUGCUUCUCCACACACUCUUCAAACCUUUUGUACCGAUCGAAAACUUCAAUCGAUAUGUCAACAAGGAACCACAUGUUCUUGUUGAUCUUGGCUCGUCUCUCACUUUCAACAUAAGCUUGCUGGAAUAAUCCGGAAAUUGUUUCGGACUUCAGAACAUAGUCUUCAAGGUACUACAGCUGAUUCAAUUGUCGACCUGACCUUCUCAGUUGUGCUAGUCCUUGAACUACUUCACCAACCUCACCCUCGUGGUUGUCUUGAGUGAUAUCCUCCAUGACAUCAUCUGCUUCAUGUCCUUCUCCAGCAUCUUCUUCGCGAAUCAACUCAAAAACUUAUAUGACCUAACUGAGCAUGCCAUGUUCUUGUAGAUUCAUUAGCAAUUCAUUCAGUCAGUCCUUCAGCGAGUCCUUCAACGAGUCCUGCAGCAAGUCCUUCAGCAUGUCCCUCAGGAAGUCCUUCAGCUUGCAGACAUGUUGCCUUGCUUAUCUCCAAACAACUUGAUGCUGACCAGCCUUGUCGCAUCACUUUGGAUAAAUUCUGCUUUUGGUUGUGAUCACCGGUUACUCCUCCUUGAGAUUGCAAGACGGACCUUCCUUGUCCCAUGCCUCUGCCGGAACUGUCACCUCCAAAGCUUCCUCUACCAUAACCACCGUAGUUAUAGCUUCCUUUGUUAUAACGUCUUCUUGUUAUAACCGCCUCUGUUUCCUGCUCGAAACUUCCCGUAGCCUCCAUGCUUAGGGUUUGAGGUCCUUGGUCUUUACUUUGGAUUUCUUACUCAACACGUUCUUCAUACUCCAGUAACCUCCCAACAAUGUCUUCAAACCCCAUCCGCUUUAGGUCAAGAACUUGCUCCAGGGAUGCUACAAUAUGAAUGAUCUUGGUUCGUGGUUGUGGAUUCUCGCUUGCCAUACUUGUUUACGAGUCACGUACCACUGGUCUUGUCUAGAGUCUUCAAACUAAGCUCUAACACACCACAGGUCUUGUCCAGAGUCUUCAAACUAAGUUCUGAACUUGUACAGAGUCUUCAAACUAAGCUCUGCCAUACCAUAGGUCUCGUCUAGAGUCUUCAAACCAGAAGCUCUGAUACCAAAUAAAGUUCAGAGCCGACUUGCUCUGAUACCAAUUCAAAUCAAGAUCACCUUAUCUUGACUGCUCUGAUUAAGUUACUGAAUGAUUCAGAAAGUGAUUCAGCAACACGAGAACAAGAGAUUAAAGAAUAACCUUUCUUUAUUGAUUUAGAAACUUCACAAAACGAAAUCUCUCUCUUCUGUCCUCUCUGAGGUCUUAUGGAACAACUCUCCAUAGCCUCUCAUAUAUAGAACUUAUCUACCCCUAAGCCUAUAUGAGUCUCUUUCUCUAGACUCUCAUGAGAUCUGUCUCAACACCUCCACGUGUCUUAACUCUCAUCUUCGGAUGCUGGAGCUUCUCUGGUAGCAGAACUCCCCCCGAGCUGUUCUGAGCUCACCCUGAGCUAUUCGAGCUCCCCUGGGCUAUUCGAGCUCCCCGAGCUACACUAAGCUCUUUGAGCUACACUAAGCUCUUUGAGCUUUCUCUCAAGCUCUCUCUCUUCUUCUUCACUAGCUCUCCUCUUGAGCUGCCUUCACGAGCUCUCCUCUGAGCUACCUCUGAGCUACCCUCUGAGCUACUUCGGCUAUACGAGCUACUCAAGCUCCUUGAGCUCCUCUGAGCUACACGAGCUCCCCGCUUGAGCUGCACGAGCUCCCCUGCUGAGCUGCCUCUCUUGUUCUUCAUAAAGCUCUUAUUUAUACUAGAACCAAGCUUCUUCUUUGCCUAUUGUGAAUAGGAAGACUUACAAAUCUUGUCCAACUUGACAUUAUUUGUAUUUCCUUUUCUCUUGAUUUCCUUUCUUGGAUUUCCUUUCUUGUAUCUCUUCUAGCAUCUUCUAGAAGAAGAUAACUUGCUCCUCAAGUUAGUUGGAAUUAUCCAACAAAGACCGUGAAGUUUCGGUUGCAUCCAUGUCAUAGAUUUUGGGGGGUCUUGUGCUCUUGAAAAUUCUGAAAAGUCUUGAGCUUCGCACCAGAUCCAAUGGUCCUGAAUCCGUUUUCUAAGAACGGAGAGAAUAUGACAUUGAUCACCGAGACCAGAUUUACAAUUACGAUAGAUCAAAUCAUGAGCUUUAUCUCUCCUUCAAGCAAUUCCAUAACCCCGACAGCAAAAGACGACGGCCAGCAGAAUAAGAAUCGCAGCUUCCAGAUUCAGAGAUCGUUGAUCCUUCUUGCUCUGAAUCAUCAAAAAAUGCUUCAACUUUGAGAAAUAGGAACUUUUGAUACAAACUUGAAAAAUCUUAAAGCUUUUGAAUUAGUUUUGUUUCUUGAGCUCCAAGUACAUAAUUAUAGCUAUGAAUAGAAUAGGGGAAUAAUCACAGAAAUGGAAAAAGGAACCGUUUGAAUUAACCUUUGAAUCCGUUUAGGUAGAAGCUGAAAUGACGAAAUUACCCCUUGAAUCCGUUUGCUUGCGGACAUCGAGAAUGUGUCAUUGUGUUGUAUCGAGUCUUCUUCUUCUUUGCGAGGCCACGACCGACACAUGUAACACGUUUUGUACGUAACCAUUUCAAUUUCUUAAAUGAAUUGUAGGUCAAUAUUUCUCUUAGUUAGAAUCCCAUAUGUGCAUAACUAAAUUAGUCGACAAACAAUGUUAAUGUGAUACAAUGAAUAUGUUAAAUUAGAUUAGUAUAGUUAACUCACCUAAAUCGUGUUUGACUUGCAUCAUUUCAAUCAAUGUCUUUAUAUGAAGUUAUUACUAACAAGUAACAACAUAUCGUCUUCUAAAUAUGAACUCUUAAUUUUCAACAAAUUGAGCUUUUUAUACGUUUUAAAGUCAUAUUAUAAGCAAACAAACAUGUAAACAAUACAAAAUAAUUAUAUUGAUUAAAAACAUAUCGUAAAGAAAUCUGAAAUUAAUCGCACUGUAAUACGUUUUAUGCGUAACCAUUUCAAUUUCUUAAAUAAAUAGUAUGUCAAUAUCUUUAUUAGUUAGAAUCCUAUAUCUAAAUUAGUCGACAAACAAUGUUAAUGUGAUACAUUGAAUAGGUUAAAUUAGAUUAAUUAACUCACCUAAAUCGUUACACUGUUUUGAAUAUUUAGAGCUGUCCAUAACCCCUAUUGAAAUAAUCCCGAUUAAACAAAAACCCUUAAUUCAAAUUAGCUUAGCUAGAGAUAUCCAAAUCUUAGCUAGAAAUAACCUUAAUCAUAAUCAUGCAUGUAUUUAAAGAUCUCUCAUUCAGAAACCCAUAAAUGGAUGAUGAAUCAAUGAAAAUUUGUUAUUGGGCUAUACUUAAUUUCAUGAACGAUGUAGGUCCAAUUAGAUACAUAAUACUAAAUGAAUGAUCUAUAAUUAUUAUUGUCCACCGAAAUUGUGAAACUUUUAAAUUUAUCAGCUAAAGUUUCCUUGAAAUAAAAGAAAAUAAAUUAUUUACAACUUUAUUUAAGAUCAACAUUUUCUACGUUUAAAAAAAAAAAAAAAGUAUAAGUGUUUGUUGUUUCUAGAAUUUUAGCAAAUCCUACAAUCGAUGAUGAUUAUUAAUGUUUUAGGGAAGUUAUUAUUACUAGGCCCAAAAAAUGUAUGGCCCAAGCGGGUUAGGCCCACAUUUUUGUAUAAAUAUAUAAUAAGAUUUUCCGCUUUCUCAACGCAUUUUACGGAUUUUGAAAAUUCAUUUCAUUUCAGAAAAAGAUUUUCGAAAAUGAAGAUGAGUAAGAUGCUCUGCUUGCGAAGGCGAUUUUCGAGAAGAGCAAGAGCUGGUAAAUUUUUCGACAUCUUCCUUCUUCAGAUGACCUAAAACUUGUUUCCGAGCAAGGAUUUUGUAGCGAUUUCGUGUUUAGAAGGAGGAUUUUGCUUUUGUUUUGUUGCUAAAAGUGUUCGUCGGAAGUGUUUUGAGUUUGGUAAAUCUGGAUCUGGUAACGAUGAACUAUUUGAUACUUGAACGAAACUCGAUUUCUGAAAUCAUAGACGACGAGAUUUUGAACCUAUCGAACACACUCAUUGAUGUUGUAUUCCGAUUUUGGUAUGGAUUCGUUGCUUAUUUUCUCUGCGUUGAUCUUAGGUGCGUGAUAGGAUUUUGAUUUCAGCUGUUUAUUCUCUCCGAUUUUCGCUAGAUCUGGUGAAUUUCUGAUUGGGCACUGUUGUACGAUGCUUGUUAGCUAGGUUCAGAUUCAUCGUUGCUUAUUUAUCUGCAUGAUUAGUUCUCUAUGUGUUUUUAGGUUUUGAUUCUCUCCGAUUUAGAUCUCUAUGUUAGGUUUAUGUGCUCUCUGAUUCAGGAUCUCGAUGUUUGAUUUUGCAAUUUGGUUUGUUGCUAAAUGUGUUCAUGGUUUGCGUUUAAUUUUGCUGUUUGUUUUGUUGCUAAUUGUGUUCCUGACAUGAGGCUUUCUUUUUACUAUUCUUGAAUUUUGUAGCUCCUCUCGUUGUCCCUGUGAAUGCCAAUCCUGUCCUUGUUGCUGUUGCUCAAGAGCAAGUUGCUCUCCCAGGUAUAACUCUCUUUCUUCCUUAGCUGCGUGAUAGGAUUUUGAUUUCAAGUGUUUAUGCUCUCUAAUCCUGAUCGUUGCUUAUUUAUCUGCGUGAUUGGUUCUCUAUGUGUUUUUAGGUUUUGAUUCUCUCCCAUUUAGAUCUCUAUGUUAGGUUUAUGUGCUCUCUGAUUCAGGAUCUCGAUGUUUGAUUUUGCAAUUUGUUUUGUUGCUAAAUGUGUUCAUGGUUUGCGUUUGAUUUUGCUGUUUGUUUUGUUGCUACAUGUGUUCCUGACAUGAGGCUGUAUUUUUACUAUUCUUGAAUUUUGUAGCUCCCCUUGUCGUCCCUGUGCAUGCCAAUCCUGUCCUUGUUGCUGUUGCUCAAGAGCAAGCUGCUCUCCCAGGUAUAACUCUCUUUCUUCCUUAGCUGCGUGAUAGGAUUUUGAUUUCAGGUGUUUAUGCUCUCUAAUCCUGAUCGUUGCUUAUUUAUCUGCGUGAUUGGUUCUCUCUGUGCUUUUAGGUUGUGAUUUUCUCCCAUUUAGAUCUCUAUGUUAGGUUUAUGUGCUCUCUGAUUCAGGAUCUCGAUGUUUGAUUUUGCAAUUUGUUUUGUUGCUAAAUGUGUUCAUGGUUUGUGUUUGAUUUUGCUGUUUGUUUCGUUGCUAAAUGUGCUCCUGAGGCUGUCUUUGUACUAUUCUUGAAUUUUGUAGCUCCUCUCGUCGUCCCUGUGCAUGCCAAUCCUGACCUUGUUGCUGUUGCUCAAGAGCAAGCUGCUCUCCAAGGUAUAACUCUCUUUCUUCCUUAAGUGCGUGAUAGGAUUUUGAUUUCAGGGGUUUAUUCUCUCAGAUUUUCGAUAGUUCUGGUAAAUUAUGAUUAGCACGGUUGUACGAUGCUUGUUAGCUAGGUUCAGAUUCAUCGUUGCUUAUUUAUCUGCAUGAUUAGUUCUCUAUGUGUUUUUAGGUUUUGAUUCUCUCCGAUUUAGAUCUCUAUGUUAGGUUUAUGUGCUCUCUGAUUCAGGAUCUCGAUGUUUGAAUUAAUUCUCUCUGAUCUUUAGGUAUUGAACUCUGUGUUUAGGAGAUUUUAUUUUAUAUCAUGUAUAUGUCUGUAGCUCUUGUGCGUCCUGACGUGAGGCUAUCUUUCAACUAUUCUUGAAUUUUGUAGCUCCUCUUGUCCCUGUUCAUGUUGCUCCAGAAGAAGCUGCUCUCCCAGGUAAACAACUCUUUCUUCUUUAGAUCUGAGUUGGUUAUUAUGAGGUUUUAAACUCUUUCUUUAGGUUCUGAAAUUUUACAAUUUGAAAUAGCAAAUCAAAAUAGUAUGAAAACAUUCUUACUUUAUUUCUCAGAUUUACCUCCGUCGUUUGAUAUGGUGGAUUCUGAUUAUUUCCUGUAUCUUUUUUUUUGUUUGUUGUGACAGGUCUGACUGUCAACAGAAACCAUCUGAUCAGAGAUCUCCCACGCCCUGUUCAACGUCCUCCUGUUGUGCAAGUGUCUCAGCCUCAACUUAGCCGGUCUGCAAGGAAAAAGCUCAAUAGAGGUCCUGGGACCAUGAGCCUCACUGCAGCACAGAAGAGGAUGUUUGGUCAUAGGAAGGGUAAGAAGAAGCACCGUCGUCGAAAGUAUGGUCAUAGCUAUUAAGCUCCCAGCCAGCAAAACAGGGAUGCAUCUUGCAGUGAGCUCAACAAGGAUUUCUAAACUCUCAUUAUAUCCUGUGAUUGAGCGAUACACUGGUUUUGGUUUGUGAUUUCGGAUUUACCAUGUGCACCUUUUGCAAAACAUGGAUUUAGAUUGCAGUGAGCUCAACAAGGAUUUCUAAACUCUCAUUAAAUCCUGUGAUUGAGCGAUACACUGGUUUUGGUUUGUGAUUUCAGAUUUACCAUGUGCACCUUCUGCAAAACAGGAAUAUACUUGGUGUCUGUUUUGGAUUUAAGUAAUAUCUGCUUCUCUCUUAAAUAUCUUGGUCUAUUGCAGGCAAAUAUCACUUCCAAAAUAUGUUGUCAAAUAAUCAGAUAUUUAGUCAUUGUAACCAAGCGAACACUGUUCACUGAUUCCUCUCUGAAAUUCUUCUUGUUCUUACAUUUGCUCAUCCGAUGACCUCCUGAUGCUUGAUAAGACGAAUAUAUCUUGUUGCAAAACCUGCAUUGAUGCUCAACGUUCUUCUUAUCAGAUUCAGUGAUCAUCUCAGUAUCUGAAUCAGAACACUCCAUAGCUCCUACUCCAAGCUCAGUUCUGUAAUACCCAGUUUUCCAAGUCACCAGCUUUUCGCAGUUUCCGCUGUUCCAAUUCAAUCUUUGUUCCCAAGAAACUCGCUGGUUCUUUCCAUGUCCCUUCCAUCAGUUUUUGCUCAUUACUCAAAGAACCAAAUUCACCUCCAUUUCGCAGCUUCUGCUGAUCCAAAACACACUUGUAUCCCAAGAAACUUGCUGGACCUUUGAAUGUAACAGGAGUAGUAAUCUCUUCUUUUAGCAUUCUUUGCUCAUUACUCAAAAACCCAGAUUCAAAUUCACCAGCUUUUCUUCGUUUCUGCUGAUCCAAUCUGUUAUCAUCUCUCAAGAAGCUAGCUGGUUCUUUCGAUGUUCCAUAACUACUAAACCUUUCUUCCAUAAAUCUUUGCUCAUCACUGAAAACCCCAUAUUCAAAUUCACCACCUUUUCGCGGUUUCUUGUUACGCAAACAACCCAAAUCAUAGCUACUUUUAGGUGUUUCAUGAAUCAUGAGUAACAUGUACUGCCUCAGCAAGAAGUUUCAGUCCGUCUACAAACUUGGGAGUACUCUCAGACAAUAGAAUCAAACAAUCCGCCACUUCUAAUUCUUCAUCAUUCGCAUCAAAAACAGAACGCGGUUCAAGAAAUGUACUAUACGAACAAGAAAAUGAAGUCUUCUUAUACCUAACAAGUCUCGAUCUUUUCUUCUUCCUCACAAAACUGAAGAUACGACACAGAGUCAUCAUGGAUUCUUCAUAAACCUUCUGGUUCGUCGAUAAAUGCAUCGUCGCUCGAUGAUUUGAAAAACAUUUCUCGUACCGAAACCCUUUUCCACAUUCUUCGCAUCGAAACAAAAUCUUCUUCAUUAGUUCCGGAGAUUCCAGGGUUUUCUUCUUCGGGUUUUCCCUUAUACCGUAGUAACAAGUAAAAUCUCGCUGUUGGUUUGUUGCGUGACUGAGUAAUCUUCAGAUUUCGCAGAGCUCCAUAGAUGGGUUUAUGUAGAAGAUCUUGGUGUUCUUCUUCCAUUUAGGCGCGAAAUACACGGGGUUUGUUGAUAAAGAAGAAGUCAAUGAAGACGAGGUAGAUGAUGUAGAGGUAGAUAAUAAAGCAACAAACCCAAGCCGGACUCAUUAUCAAAGAAACUCUCAGAUGAGUUGAAGAAAUAAGGAGGAUUAUGCUCUGUUUCUCGUCACUUUCCUGAGAAAUACUGAGAGAGAAAGUGUCGAAGAAACAGAGAAGCUUGAGACUAUCGAAUCAAACGAAAGAAUACAAACAUUUUGAGUUUCUGUGACUUUUCGGGAGAACAAGUGAGCGAGAGGAAUGGAGGAAACAGAGAGAAGCGGAGAAGAUAUAAGCACUGAGCGAAGUAACGUCGUGAAAGGGGCAUUAUAGUAAAUCGUCAAGAACAGAGGAGCGAAACUUUAUUUUUCGACUACAAGGUUCCCACGUGGCACAUCAUGACCGUGGAGGCGUCGACUAAAUUGGAAAAAUAAUUUAACAGAAUCUUUUACUCAUAUUAGAAACUGAAGUAGAAAUCCAGCUAGGGAAAGCUUUUAUAUUAUGAAAAUAAUACUCGAAAAGCUUUACAAUAUUUGAUAACCCAAGGUACAUAAUUACCAACAAAAACCAAACCUAAAAUCUCUGUUGGAAUUCAUAAAACCAAGAAAAAAAAGCGACAAUUAUUGAUCAAAACAUAGUUAAAGAUAUAUGGAAAAACUCAUGAGAAUUAGGAAAAAAUGGAGAAAAAAGCUAAGGAAGAGGUUUGGUUGUUGUUGAGGCAAGAGCAGGCAUGUCCUUGAGCCACUGGUCCAAUGGCUUACCAAUGGAGUAAACAAUAAACCCAAUCUGCCUGAGUUUAUCAGCGUCGACCACGUUUCUACCGUCAAAAACAAAAGCCGGUUUCUGCAUAUUCUCAAAGAUCCGUUGGAAAUCGAGUUUCUUGAACUCAUCCCACUCGGUUAAAAUGCAGAUA
rnacentral:lncRNA from 1 species